ensembl:snoRNA
ACAGCAUCUUAAGCAGGUCGUGGUCUCUGAGCAGUAGGCCAGGAUUUGGUAGCUGGUGCUGAAAUCAGUUCUCUCUUGCAACACUCCCACUAGCAACUUCUGUGCUUUCUGGGAGUACUAUGGGAGAGAUAUAAAU